GACGAACGCUGGCGGCGCGCCUAACACAUGCAAGUCGAACGAGAGAUGAGGAGCUUGCUCUUCAAAUCGAGUGGCGAACGGGUGAGUAACGCGUGAGGAACCUGCCUCAAAGAGGGGGACAACAGUUGGAAACGACUGCUAAUACCGCAUAAGCCCACGGCUCGGCAUCGAGCAGAGGGAAAAGGAGCGAUCCGCUUUGAGAUGGCCUCGCGUCCGAUUAGCUAGUUGGUGAGGUAACGGCCCACCAAGGCGACGAUCGGUAGCCGGACUGAGAGGUUGAACGGCCACAUUGGGACUGAGACACGGCCCAGACUCCUACGGGAGGCAGCAGUGGGGAAUAUUGCACAAUGGGGGAAACCCUGAUGCAGCGACGCCGCGUGAGUGAUGAAGUAUUUCGGUAUGUAAAAACUCUAUCAGCAGGGAAGAUAAAUGACGGUACCUGACUAAGAAGCACCGGCUAAAUACGUGCCAGCAGCCGCGGU
rnacentral:rRNA from 1 species